UACGUAGGGACCGAGCGUUGUCCGGAUUCAUUGGGCGUAAAGAGCUCGUAGGCGGCUGUUCAAGUCGAACGUGAAAACUCGGAGCUCAACUCCGAGCCUGCGUUCGAUACUGGACGGCUAGAGUCUGGUAGGGGGAUCUGGAAUUCCUGGUGUAGCGGUGGAAUGCGCAGAUAUCAGGAGGAACACCAAUAGCGAAGGCAGCUCGCUGGGACGGUACUGACGCUGAGGCGCGAAAGCGUGGGGAGCAAACAGG
rnacentral:rRNA from 1 species